rnacentral:rRNA from 1 species
GAGUUUGAUCGUGGCUCAGAACGAACGCUGGCGGCAUGCCUAACACAUGCAAGUCGAACGAAGGCUUCGGCCUUAGUGGCGCACGGGUGCGUAACGCGUGGGAAUCUGCCCUUGGGUUCGGAAUAACAGAGAGAAAUUUCUGCUAAUACCGGAUGAUGACUUCGGUCCAAAGAUUUAUCGCCCAGGGAUGAGCCCGCGUAGGAUUAGCUAGUUGGUGGGGUAAUGGCCUACCAAGGCGACGAUCCUUAGCUGGUCUGAGAGGAUGAUCAGCCACACUGGGACUGAGACACGGCCCAGACUCCUACGGGAGGCAGCAGUGGGGAGUAUUGGACAAUGGGCGCAAGCCUGAUCCAGCAAUGCCGCGUGAGGGAUGACGGCCUUCGGUUG